rnacentral:rRNA from 1 species
GGCUGUCCAGGUGUUUAAACUACACCUGUUAGCAAGRGCCGRGCAAGACCGGUGCCAGCCGCCGCGGUAACACCGGCGGCCCGAGUAANUGAUCGUGAUUAUUGGGUCUAAAGGGUCCGUAGCCGGUUUGGUCAGUCCUCCRAAAAAUCUGACGGCUUAACCGUUAGGCUUUCGGGGGAUACUNCCAGGCUUGNNACCGGGAGAGGUAAGAGGUACUACAGGGGUAGGAGUGAAAUCUUGUAAUCCCUGUGGGACCACCUGUGGCGAAGGCGUCUUACCAGAACGGGUUCGACGVUGAGGGACGAAAGCUGGGGGCACGAACCGGAUUAGAUACCCGGGUAGUCCCAGCCGUAAACGAUGCUCGCNAGGUGUCAGGCAUGGCGCGACCGUGUCUGGUGCCGCAGGGACACCGUGAAGCGAGCCA